UUCUCUCCUUAUCCCCCGAGCAUUUCGGUCCCUCGUGAUUCGACUUCUCUUUCUGUAGUUUUAGUAUAGUAAGGUGAGCGCUGAAGCGCUGCACGAAUCUUUCUUAGAAAGAUUCAGCGACGAAGUUCUGCCCCUACAGAGCCCGACUCCUAGCUAAAAUCCCCUUGUAAGUUUCGUCGAAGGAAAUUAUUUUAAAGUAAACGAAGCGCUGUCCGAGUACCGAGUCACCACCUUCUCAAGUGUUGAUAUGAAGUGACACUACACUGAGAGAUUUAAAGAGAUGUAGAUCACUAGUGUAAAUAAUUGUCAUUGAUAGAACAGGUACCCGAAGAUCCACUUGAUCCAGGUUGGAGUGCGUACAAGACCCGUUCGUUUUGUUUCUAUAUAUAUAUAUAUAUAUAUAUAUAUAUAUAUAUAUAUAUAUAUAUAUAU